GGGAUGUGACUGUUCUUUGGGAGGUCAUAUGGAUCCUGGGAGAGACGCCCAUUAUUGCUGAAUACUCCUUGGACAACACUCACUGUAGGUUCUGUGAUAACCAAGGACAUAUUAAUUUAUCAGCAAAGGAAAUGUUUUUAAAAAGAAUAUGGCAUUUCUUGCAAAUGUCAAACACACCAAAGGGACUUUUAAAAAAAUAUAAGGAAAUGCUGGUUUUAAAAACAUGAUUUUAAAAAUCAUCACAUACAGGUGGCAACUCUGUGUAGUUGGAUCAACUGGCAAACACAAAUGGUGUUCAGAACAAAAGGAGGACCACAUAAUCGGGAUGAAGAUAUUAAGGGAAUAUACAGAAUCCUGGAAAUAAAUCAUGGUCUGAAAAACACCUUGGGGAUAAGGUAGGCCAAGCCCCUUAUUCCACAGGUGAGAAGACUGACAUUCUCAAACGUUAAUUCAGUUCAUGAAAACACUCAACAUGUUCAGAACUUUAGGACUCAAGACUCAGGCUCUCAUUUGAGUUCCCAUCCUACUGUGGCAGGUUUGUGGGACAGUUUAAAGGAGAAUUGUUACUGACUUUCCAAAAAUAAAUUUAGUUCACUUUGACUUGCAUUUUAAAAAGCUGUCUUAAUACUUUAAAAAUAAAUUAUUUUGUAUAUUUUUUCCCAGGGAUGUAUCUGGCAUAAAAUAAAUUACUAGUAGUAAAGUAGGCACUUCAUUUACAAGUAGUAGAGAAUAUUUUAAAGUUAAAAUCAUAAAUACUCAGAGAGACAUAGAAAUAGAGACAGAGAGAGAGAGAGAAAUGAAAAUAUAUAGCCCUAUUGUUUAGCCAAGAGUAGUGGUGGAAUGUUUUAUCAUUUCCCAAGUGGUAUCUGCAAAAGACAAUCAAAAUAACUCCAAUUUUAAAUUGAAUUCAUAUUAAUUUGCAUCACAUUCACAUCAGAGAAUAUUACUGCUCUUUUGGACAAGUUUAAAAGUAAAAUGUUUCAAUCUUGCUAAAUGCAUUAUAUUAAUAUAAUGAACCAGGAAAUGGAAUCACCUGUUUAAUCCACUUGAACCAUUUGUUUCGGCUAAGUAGAUAUAUUAGCUAAUAUGAUACAUAUGCUAUCCACAUGUGUGCCAAAAUAUUCACUAUGGUUACAAAACAAAAGAUGGAUGAUUAGGUGAAAAAUAAAGAAACUUUACCUUAAAUUUUUCUAAAUAAUAUUUUCCCUGGAAAAUUCCUUUGGCACCAAUUAAUAUGAUCGCUAAAAACACAGGUCGCAUCUAUUAAUAAAAUAUGGUGACAAAACCCCGUCUCUACCCAAAAUACAAAAAAUUAGCUGGGCGUGGUAGUGCGUGCCUGUGGUCCCAGCUACUUGGGAGGCUGAAGUGGGAGGAUGGCUUGAGCCCGGGAGGUAGAGGUUGCAGUGAGCCAAGACUGUGCCACUGCACACCACCUGGGUGACAGAGAGACCCCAUCUCAAAAAAUACAUAAAAUAAAAUAAAAUAAAAUAAAAUACGGACCAUUAUUUUCAAUAAGAUUUCUAUGACCUGCAACUAUUAUAUUCGUAAAGACUUUAAAAUUGUUUUUAAAAACUUAAGCACUCGGUUCUUUCUAUGGUUAAGGGAACUCACCAACUUCAUAGACAUUCCUGUUGGCUGAAGUUGAGUUAUUGAUCUCUGCAUAUGGGGAAUCUCUUCGUGCCGGCGAUUUCAUCUCCACAUAACCACACUCUGAGCUUUUCGGGAUAAGUACAGAAAAUUUACAGAAGUUCAAUCAAGAAACCAGCUGUUGAUGGCCCCAGGAGCACCAAGAGGGCUCUAUUAUCAUGACAAGAAGGCAUUUGUGCUGGGAGGACUCCUAGUAAAAGCUCUGUACUAGGCAUCUAAUCAUGCACACCCAUCCUGAACAGCAGAACUUGGUCAACAUGUAACCAUGUGGAUCUUUUCUUAUUGUCCCGGCUAUUUCCCUUUAUAUGUUUCCGUCUCCCCAUAAGCCAUAUUUCUUUUAAAUGAAAUAUGAGUGUUUCCUCAGCAAACUGAAUCUUUUGUUCCCCAAAGACUUAAGCUCUACCAAGGACCACCUCUGGUCACUUUCUUGAUGUCAGUCACACAUGUUUGUGUGUUUGCUGUAGUAACUGACCACACUAAAAAUUCUACAUUUUCUCUUGCCAUUCUAGCUUGUUUAAAAACUAUUUCAGUCUUUGAGGUUAAAAAAAAUUUAAUUGUGCUUCUGAUUUCUUCUUCAAAUUUACAUGAUACCUUUUAAGGAUUUUCCCAUAUAGCUUCUGUCAAGUCCAAAAGCACCUGUAAUAAAGGAAGAAAAAAAACACCCAGUGAGAACUGAAAGGAAGAAAAACCCCAUCCAAUAUCCCAAGGUCCUGGAAGAGGAUCUCCCACUGCAGCAAACAACCAGGCUGCUGCUCUUCAAGCCUUUACACCAGAUCAGUUGUCCCAGAUGUCCCCAGUGCCUAGAAUUAAACACACACACAUUUGGUCAUUCACCUAGUCAUUUACAGUGACUCAGGAAAAGCUAGUCAAAACAGGAUAGAAACUGAGGCCCAGAGAUAAAUCAGUAUACUUGAUUCAAGGUUGCACAGUGAAAAGAAAGGAUACAGCCAAGACCAGAGUUGACAUUUCAUACCUACGUGCAGCUCUUUCAAGGCUCUGAUGGUUUUCAAAUAGUUUUCCCAAUAAUCAUUAUUCGGUUAUAUUAUUGUCUUCACUAUAAGCAUGUUUUCUGGAGACUGGAAGCUUCGAACACUGUUGACUAAUACUUUACAGGUGAUACUAGCUCUUGCCCUUCUUUAUUCAGCUUUUCAUAAUUUGACUUUUCCAGGUAUGGGGACAUAAUUGUGUAUGAGCCUAGAUACACACAAAAAAACCUGCUUUCUCAUUGGAAAAUGGCCAGCCUUUAUUUCGUGGGUGUGGGGAGGGAAAUAGGAGUGUUCCGGCUCAUGCUGGAAAAAUUGAGCAUGUAGGCAAGAGAACGUGCAACCACUUACAGAAAUCAAUCAGGUCACAAGCAUGUUGUAUAAAAUAUAAGCAUUUAAUCACAAAUUCGCACUACUAAAAACAAAAUAAGACGACAUUACCUAGCCCAUUUUAUACUAUCUGGUGUAUACGUGCAAAAUUGCAUUGUUAAUACUGCAUGGGAGUCAAUUAUUCUAUUGGAGCUGUGUUGUGACAAAAAAGGAGAAAACUAUAGAUUAGGAGACAAAGGAAUUACAUGUUAUAACUUAUUGGCCAUAGGACUUUGGGCAAGAUGUUCCACCCUCUGAGUGUCAAUUUUCUCAUCUCUAAAAUGGGGAAAACAAAAUUUGCCUUCCAGCCUUCCAGGGUUUUUGUCAUCAUUAAGUGAAACAGAGCAUAUGAAAAGGCUUUGUAAACUCUGAAGCACCAUACAAAUGAAGUGUGUCAAUUACUCUAACGCUCAGUGCAUUAUACUACCCUCUGCUUCAGUCUUUCCUUAAGCACUCCAAGGCAUUUUCAAUUGCCUUUCAAAAGAAUAUUACAGGCCGGGUGCGGUGGCUCAUGCCUGUAAUCCCAGGACUUUGGGAGGCCAAGGUGGGUGGAUUGCUUGAGCCCAGGAGUUCAAGACCAGCCUGGGCAAUAUGGCAAAACUUCAUCACUAAUCUUUUGAAAUACAAUACAAUAAGAAUGUUACAGACUUAGGUUAAAAGCAGAGAGUAAAGUAACAACUAGCAAUGAACAUUCCAGGUAAGUAUUUGAGAAUGUUAAGGAAACGAUAUCCUUGCCACUGUGCAUGCAUCUCUUAGAGAGAUGUUAAGCUCAAGUUCUGAUGUUGGUGUCCCAUGGGGAUCACUGAGUAAGCACACACUGUUGUGGAGAAGGAAGCAGCCUCUCCUAAAGGGAGAGGGUCUGUCAGAUAUCAAUCAUCGUGGGACAGGAAAUGGGAAUAUUUUCCUCUCUCAGGCACACUCUCUUGCAUCUGGGUUGUGAAGAGUCUAACCAAGCCCAUAGCUGGGGGGAAGGGCACACGGUUAUGCAGGGAGGCAGCAUAAAUGGGUGUGUAGUGAAGAAUUAACCUUAUCAAAGAAAGGGGUGGCCUUUGCCCUCAGCUCCUGGGAGGUGAUCUUGAAGUCCUUGGACUGUCCUGCCCAAUAGGAGUGCUUUUGUUCACCCGGAGGCCCAGGGAUACACCGGAUAGUGUAACCAAGUGAUUUAUGGUGGGGGGUUUGGGCCAUAUGGUAUCAUCUCCACCUCUGGAAGGGGAAAGACUAAAGGUCAAUCAUGUCUACAUGAUGGGAGUCAAUCAUGUCUAUAUGACUGAGCCCCCCAUAAACUGUAACCAUGAGAAUGCCCAUUCAGUGAGUUCAGUGACUCCUUGUAGCAAAAUGUUGAUCCUGAGGGUCGUCUUGGUGAUCUUUCAACUUGUAGCUGAUGUCAGAAGUCAGGGUGGUCUUGGGAAUUCCCAGACUUUAUAAAGAGGACCCAUGAAGAUGGGGCACAGUCUGUGGCCUCUGAGAACAGCUUUAUCAAGGAGCUCUGUCUAUGCUCCUCUUUGCCAAAUACUCUUGGCCAUCUCCAGACUGUAGCAAAGUCUUAUUAAAUGCCCAUUUUAAUCUUAGCUGUGCAGUGGCUAGCCUUCCACCAAGGUGUGAAAGAGAGAACCAGCAUGGAGCAGAUAGUAAGUUAGGGAAUAAGAGCUGGGGCUAUGAGGCCAGACACCCCUGCCAGAUUCUGUCUUCAUUGCCUUGGAGGAUCAGGGAGCUGUUUUAAUGAGGGAGCAGUCAGGAUUCCCUAUAAACUCCUAUAUACACCCAUCCCUGGAGCAGGGCUUUCAAAUGCUUGGUUUAAUUUAAUUCACAAAACGAGCCAGUACAUGCUUAUUACUCCCAUUUCACAAAUGAACGAAUCAAGGGUAAGUGAGGGUAAGUGACUGGCCCAGUGCUAUAUCUCAGGGUCUUUUGUGUCUAGUUCAAGGCUCUUUCAGAUACCAUGACGACAACUAUUCCAUCAUUUAAAGCACCUGUAAGCUUUAUCAUCCAUAACAUGCCUGACUCUGUCCUUUGUGAAGAACUUUUUCUGUGCAACAACUUUAAAGGGAUGUUAAAUGCAGAAUUAUUCCUGAGUGAGAACAAACCAAGAAGAUCCAGAAUUUCCAAUGAAGAUCCUAGGUUCCUAACACUCAGUCCCUUGGGUCUCAUUGAGCCAGAAAGCAGAGACAUUUACAUGUGACCAGUACAGUGAUGCCGUAUCUUCUGGAGUCUUCACAGUGGUCUAAGAUAGAACAAGAUGACUUUUCUUUCACUAGCGCUGGUUGGUAUUUUGCUGAAUAUCAAUUCAUAUAUUCCUUUGAGCUAAAUUAUAAAUGUAAUUAAGACUCCUAAAAAGUCUCCUUUAAUGUUAGAUGAUGUUACCAAUAAGCAUAUUGUGAGUCUCGUAUGUAAAUAAUUUUACUGUGGUUAGAAAUACUCAUCCUAUUGAUAAAAAUGGUAUAGAAUACAGAUAAAAGUUAGGAAUUUGUACAGCGAGCGUGAUAACGACUACACUAUGGAAAUGACUAAGAAUUUGUAUUCACCAGUAAAACAUUUUUAUUUCCAUAGAAAGAGGCAUUCCCACAGGGAUCAGUUCCUAUGACUGGCUCAGAGAACUUGACACUGCUUACAGGAGAAGCAGUGUUUAAGGGGAGCAGUCAGAAGAUCAACUUUGAAAUCUGGCUUUACCCCUUUCCUUCUUUGAAAUUUCAGACAAGAGGGUUAACCUCUCUGUGCCUCCCAGUCUACUCCUCUACAAAACAAGAUUCACAGGAGAGAGUCCACCCAGGAGGAUCAUCCAAUUUAGCAAAUGGGCCAAGUGUGGUGGCUCAUGCCUGUAAUCCCAGCACUUUGGGAGGCUGAGGCAAGAAGAUCACUUGAGGUCAGGAGUUUGAGACCAGCCUGGCCAACAUGGAGAAACCCUGUCUCUACUGAAAAUGCAAAAAUCAGCCAGGCAUGGUGGUGCACAUCUGUAAUCCCAGCUGCUUGGGAGGCUAAGGCAGGAGAAUCACUUGAAUCCAGAAGGCAGAUCUUGCAGUGAGCCGAGAUCGCGCCACUGCACUACAGCCUAGACGACAGAGCGAGACUCUGUCUCAAAAACAAAAACAAAAACAAAACAAAACAAAACAAAACAUUAGCAAAUGAAAAUACACAAAGGUCAGUUAUAUUAAAAUUUAAAAGAAACAAAAAAUAAUCUUUAGUGUACAUCCCAUGUAAUAUCUGUGAUAUGUUUAUACAAAAAAAUGUGUUGCUUAUCUAUCUGAAAUUCAAAUUUAACUGGGAUUUCUGGCACCUACCUCCAAAUAAAUGUACGUGAAAGGAUUUGCUAUCCGUAAGACACUGCACACCUGUAAGUUACUACAUCAUCAAACUCCUGUCUGAAAAUAUGGGUUACAGGCUUGGAAACUGCACUGCAUAAUUAAUGGUAUAUCACAGAAGUUCUUUAAGUAUGGACCAAGCAUUCCUGCCCCCUUUUCAGGAGGCCUAUGAGAUCAAAACUAUAUAUACACAUAUAUAUUUUAAGAGGUGAGUCUCGCUAUGUCAUCCAGAUCAGACUCAAACUCCUGGGCUCAAGCAAUCCUCCUGCCUCAGGCUCCCAAGUAGCUGGGGCUAUAGGCCUGUGCCAUUGUGCCCAGCUGCAAAACUAUUUCCAUAACAAUACAACAACAAUAUUUGCCGUUUUCACUCUAAUUCUCUUUCAAGUGUACAGUGGAGUUUUUCAGAAGCUACAUAAAGUAUGAGAUCAAAACCAACUGAACGUAAAAGCAGACAUGAUAAUCCAGCUAUCUUCUAUUAAGCUGGACAUUAAAGAGAUUUUUUUAUAAAAAUGUAAAAUAGCAUUGCUCUUCUCGCUAAUUUUGAAGGGUUUUGGAAAAUGUAGUUUUUUUUAAUAAAAACACAAUUUAUGUUACCAUGAAAUGUGAUUAUUAUUAAUUUAAAUAAAUUAACAUUCUAUUUUUUCCAGUUUUUAUUUACAUAUUAAAUUUCAUUUAGUAUGGUAAAUAUAAAUAGAUAUAGCCCCUAUCAACAGAAGCUCUUUUGGGUCCUCAAUAAAUUUUAAGAAUGCAAAGGAGUCCUAAUUUCAAAAAGUUGCCCGAACCACUGAUCCACUGUAUUCCUGUUGGUAUCUCUGAUUCCUCACCUGAAAGGGAAGGGGAUCUCAAGUACAGAUACCCUAUAUCAAAAGAGAACAAGGAAGAGCACACAGCUGUGAGCCAAGCUGACAGGGUCCAAUACUAGCUCUAACAUUUAACAGGCGAUGAGGUCCUGUGCAAGUAACAUAACCUUGUUAUGACUCAGUUUCUCAACUGUAACAUGCAGAUGGUGAUAACAAUAGUACCCACCUAUUAGAGUACUUGUGAGAAUUAAGUUAACAGGCAUAGAGCAAGAAUGUAAGCUACGAGCAGGCAGAGAUCCCAAUCUCUUUUGAUCAAUUCCUGGCACAUAGUAGGAACUCAAUAAAUGUUUGUUGAAUAGAUAAAGCCCUUAGGACAGUAGAUAGCCCUGUACAGGUGUUAGGCAUAAUUCUGCUAUUGUGCUUUUUGAUGCAAGUUUUCAAUAGAACACCUUGGCACAAACAGAGAUCCGUGACUGUUUCAGGGACUGACAGGUCAAGGUGCUUCUGGGGACGUGCGUUGGGAGAACUCACCGAGCUCGUUGAGGUAGCCGCCAUGUUUCCAGUCAGCCGGCAAUGUCCCAGUGCAGUCCCCCACAGGGCCUCUCUUCCCAGGGUUCACAUUUUUAAGAUUCACAAACAGUUGAUUGUUUUUUGACUGUUAAAAAUAUAAACAACG
rnacentral:lncRNA from 1 species